ensembl:snRNA U1 U1 spliceosomal RNA
AUACUUACCUGUGGGGAGAAAAACCGUGAUGAUAAAGGUGGUUUUCCCAGGGUGAGGCUCAUCCAUUGCACUCCGGAUGUGCUGACCCCUGUGAUUUCCCCAAAUGUGGGAAACUGUACUGCAUAAUUUGUGAUAGUGGGAGACUGUGUUAGCGCUUUCCCUUG